UAUGAUGAUGAUUUCUUUAAUUGCUGUUACUUCUGAAUGCAUUUUGAAGAAACUUCUUUUUCACCUUGGAGAACUGAUGU
rfam:TPA: Aspergillus nidulans FGSC A4 chromosome VIII